rnacentral:rRNA from 1 species
AUGAACGCUAGCUACAGGCUUAACACAUGCAAGUCGAGGGGCAGCAUUUUAGUUUGCUUGCAAACUAAAGAUGGCGACCGGCGCACGGGUGAGUAACACGUAUCCAACCUGCCGAUAACUCGGGGAUAGCCUUUCGAAAGAAAGAUUAAUAUCCGAUAGUAUAUUAAAACCGCAUGGUUUUACUAUUAAAGAAUUUCGGUUAUCGAUGGGGAUGCGUUCCAUUAGUUUGUUGGCGGGGUAACGGCCCACCAAGACUACGAUGGAUAGGGGUUCUGAGAGGAAGGUCCCCCACAUUGGAACUGAGACACGGUCCAAACUCCUACGGGAGGCAGCAGUGAGGAAUAUUGGUCAAUGGACGAGAGUCUGAACCAGCCAAGUAGCGUGAAGGAUGACUGCCCUAUGGGUUGUAAACUUCUUUUAUAUGGGAAUAAAGUAUUCCACGUGUGGAAUUUUGUAUGUACCAUAUGAAUAAGGGUCGGCUAACUCCGUGCCAGCAGCCGCGGUAAUACGGAGGAUCCGAGCGUUAUCCGGAUUUAUUGGGUUUAAAGGGAGCGUAGGUGGAUUGUUAAGUCAGUUGUGAAAGUUUGCGGCUCAACCGUAAAAUUGCAGUUGAAACUGGCAGUCUUGAGUACAGUAGAGGUGGGCGGAAUUCGUGGUGUAGCGGUGAAAUGCUUAGAUAUCACGAAGAACUCCGAUUGCGAAGGCAGCUCACUAGACUGCAACUGACACUGAUGCUCGAAAGUGUGGGUAUCAAACAGGAUUAGAUACCCUGGUAGUCCACACAGUAAACGAUGAAUACUCGCUGUUUGCGAUAUACAGUAAGCGGCCAAGCGAAAGCAUUAAGUAUUCCACCUGGGGAGUACGCCGGCAACGGUGAAACUCAAAGGAAUUGACGGGGGCCCGCACAAGCGGAGGAACAUGUGGUUUAAUUCGAUGAUACGCGAGGAACCUUACCCGGGCUUAAAUUGCAUUUGAAUAAUCUGGAAACAGGUUAGCCGCAAGGCAAAUGUGAAGGUGCUGCAUGGUUGUCGUCAGCUCGUGCCGUGAGGUGUCGGCUUAAGUGCCAUAACGAGCGCAACCCUUAUCUUUAGUUACUAACAGGUCAUGCUGAGGACUCUAGAGAGACUGCCGUCGUAAGAUGUGAGGAAGGUGGGGAUGACGUCAAAUCAGCACGGCCCUUACGUCCGGGGCUACACACGUGUUACAAUGGGGGGUACAGAAGGCAGCUACCUGGCGACAGGAUGCUAAUCCCAAAAACCUCUCUCAGUUCGGAUCGAAGUCUGCAACCCGACUUCGUGAAGCUGGAUUCGCUAGUAAUCGCGCAUCAGCCAUGGCGCGGUGAAUACGUUCCCGGGCCUUGUACACACCGCCCGUCAAGCCAUGAAAGCCGGGGGUACCUGAAGUACGUAACCGCAAGGAGCGUCCUAGGGUAAAACUGGUAAUUGGGGCU